rnacentral:rRNA from 1 species
UACGUAGGUGGCGAGCGUUGUCCGGAUUUACUGGGCGUAAGAGCGCGCAGGCGGUCGUUCAAGUCGCGUGUGGAAAGCCCCCCGGCUCAACUGGGGAGGGUCACGCGAUACUGAUCGACUCGAAGGCAGGAGAGGGUAGUGGAAUUCCCGGUGUAGUGGUGAAAUGCGUAGAUAUCGGGAGGAACACCAGUGGCGAAGGCGACUACCUGGCCUGUUCUUGACGCUGAGGCGCGAAAGCUAGGGGAGCAAACGGG